rnacentral:rRNA from 1 species
GGGAAACGGGUCAAGAUUCCCGUACCGGUUGUGAAUGCGAUGGGGGGACGGAGAAGGGUAGCUCAGCGGCCUGUUGGAAUAGGUCGUUUAAGCGUGUAGGAGUGGUCUCCUGGCAAAUCCGGAGAUCUUAUCUGAGGCGUGAUGACGAAGGUCUACGGACCUGAAGUGAGUAAUCCCAAGCUUCCAGGAAAAGCCUCUAAGCUUCAGUUCACAACUGACCGUACCGCAAACCGACACAGGUGGGUAGGUAGAGAAUACCAAGGCGCUUGAGAGAACUCGGGUUAAGGAACUCGGCA